UACGGGGGGGGCAAGCGUUGUUCGGAAUUACUGGGCGUAAAGGGCUCGUAGGCGGCCAACUAAGUCGGAUGUGAAAUCCCCAGGCUUAACCUGGGAACUGCAUCCGAUACUGGAUGGCUUGAAUCCGGGAGAGGGAUGCGGAAUUCCAGGUGUAGCGGUGAAAUGCGUAGAUAUCUGGAGGAACACCGGUGGCGAAGGCGGCAUCCUGGACCGGCAUUGACGCUCAUGCACGAAAGCGUGGGGAGCAAACAGG
rnacentral:rRNA from 1 species